UGGACCAAUGAUGAGGAAGUGUUUAUGGACAAAGGAUCAUUCUGCAAAAAAUACUGAGGUCCAUU